rnacentral:rRNA from 1 species
UUCUACGGGAGGCAGCAGUGGGGAAUAUUGGACAAUGGACCACAAGUCUGAUCCAGCAAUUCUGUGUGCACGAUGACGUUUUUCGGAAUGUAAAGUGCUUUCAGUCGGGAAGAAGUCAGUGACGGUACCGACAGAAGAAGCGACGGCUAAAUACGUGCCAGCAGCCGCGGUAAUACGUAUGUCGCAAGCGUUAUCCGGAUUUAUUGGGCGUAAAGCGCGUCUAGGCGGCAAGGAAAGUCUGAUGUGAAAAUGCGGAGCUCAACUCCGUAUGGCGUUGGAAACUGCCUUACUAGAGUACUGGAGAGGUAGGCGGAACUACAAGUGUAGAGGUGAAAUUCGUAGAUAUUUGUAGGAAUGCCGAUGGGGAAGCCAGCCUACUGGACAGAUACUGACGCUAAAGCGCGAAAGCGUGGGUAGCAAACAGGAUUAGAUACCCUGGUAGUCC